rnacentral:lncRNA from 1 species
UUUGAAAAAAUCAAGUCGCGGGUGCAGAUGCGGGUUAAGACUAUUUUAUGCGGGGCGGGUGUGGGUUGGUGGAUUUUGAUUUGCGGAUAUCCGCCAACCCGCAAAAUAAAAUAAAAAAUAAAAAAAAUCUGUUUUCUUGAAAAUUACGAUUUUUUAGAAAAAUAAUUAUUUUAAAAAAAUUAAAUUUUUAAAAAAUAAUAUUAAAAUUACUUAUAAAUAUAUUAUUUUAUAGAAAAACUAAUUAAAUAAUUAUUUUUCUAAUUCAAAAUAUAACCCACGGGUCCCGCAGGUUACCCGCAAAAUAAAGCGGGGUGGGUGCGGGUAUUAGUUUAUUUCUUUGCGGGUUGAGCGGGUCGAAAUUUUAACUAAAAAAAAAAAAUCGAUCCGCGGAUUGGCGGGUCGUGCGGGGCGGGUUGACCCGCGAACCCAGGCCUAUCCCUAACAUCUUACUACAAAACUAAUUUUUUCCAUUUGUUGCUGGUUAUUUCUCAAAUAAGCCCUACUUAUGGUUUACCAUUUUUAGAUUUUUGUUUAGGUUUCCGAUACCAGUUAAAAAUUAUAUUUUUUGUUUGCAAUCUUGAAAAGUAGUUACGUAAGUAUAUUUCGUUUGCCAAAAUUUUUUUUUUUUUUCGUUUGCCAAAAUUUAUAUAUCUUUAAAAAUCAAAAUGAAUAUUAUUAUUUUAAAUUAUAUACAAAACCGAUAUGCUAG